rnacentral:rRNA from 1 species
UACGGGGGGGGCAAGCGUUGUUCGGAAUUACUGGGCGUAAAGGGCUCGUAGGCGGCCAACUAAGUCGGAUGUGAAAUCCCCAGGCUUAACCUGGGAACUGCAUCCGAUACUGGAUGGCUUGAAUCCGGGAGAGGGAUGCAGAAUUCCAGGUGUAGCGGUGAAAUGCGUAGAUAUCGGGAGGAACACCAAUUGCGAAGGCAGCUCGCUGGGACGUAACUGACGCUGAGACGCGAAAGCGUGGGGAGCAAACAGG